rnacentral:rRNA from 1 species
AGUGAACGCUGGCGGCGUGCUUAACACAUGCAAGUCGAACGAGAACGGAUUAUAGCUUGCUAUAAUUGUCAGCUAAGUGGCGCACGGGUGAGUAAUGUAUAGGUAAUAUGCCUCUUACUAAGGGAUAACAAAUGGAAACGUUUGCUAAUACCUUAUACUCCUUAUUAACCUAAGUUAAUAAGGGAAAGAUUUAUUGGUAAGAGAUUAGCCUGUAUUGUAUCAGUUAGUUGGUGGGGUAAUGGCUUACCAAGACUAUGACACAUAACUGGUUUGAGAGGAUGAUCAGUCACACUGGAACUGAGACACGGUCCAGACUCCUACGGGAGGCAGCAGUGGGGAAUAUUGCACAAUGGACGAAAGUCUGAUGCAGCAACGCCGCGUGGAGGAUGACACAUUUCGGUGCGUAAACUCCUUUUAUAUGAGAAGAUAAUGACGGUAUUGUAUGAAUAAGCACCGGCUAACUCCGUGCCAGCAGCCGCCGUAAUAC